rnacentral:lncRNA from 1 species
GGAGGAGACAGGAGGGUAGGGAAGACUGAGUCUCUGAGUUUGGUUUCAGCUCAGUGAGAGAAAAAUCACUGUGCUUUAAGUUUUUUCCCCCCCUAUUAUCAUGGAUUCAAUACAGUGUCUCUGAGGAGAUUCAGCUCUGCAGAAAGGUGAGUGAUUGCAAAGUAGCAUCUUUAUGUAGCAAGUUUGUCUACAACUUCUAUCCUAUCACUAAAAGAGACAAGCGAGCAUUGGGGUAAAGGCUACCUAGCUAUUAGUUAUCUAUUCCUGUCUGUGCAAUUAACCUGUGUGUAAGAAAGAAGUCCUUGUCAAAUCUGGCCAUUUUUUUAUAUUGGGCUGCCUUUUCAUAAUGCUUACUUUAUAUGCUUACUUUUAUAUGCAUGUACAUUUAACCCCUUAAGGACCAAACUUCUGUAAUUAAAGGGAAUCAUGACAUGUCACACAUAUCAUGUGACCUUAAGGGGUUAAACAGCAUACCAUGUGCAUUCAAUUAUUUCAUAAAUCACAAUAAUGCCUACUCUGCCCUGGUUUAUAUGUUAACUAGGGAUCAACAUCAUGGAGUGCUAAAUGUUUCCUUAGGCACACUCGGUACCAGAACCAAACGGAUCCACCCAGACUGUGAAUGUACCUUUGUUACAUGCGUUAACUUUGUUACAAUACAUUAAAAUAUUUUACUAUAGAAGCAGAAAAAUAUUGAUACACAUUCAGAAAUGAAUACUCUUAAGAAGCCGCCUGCCUUCUAAAGUAGCCCUCUGGUGUGCUCAUUUUGGCCAUCGUACUAAGGAAACAGCCUCUGUUAAAAGAAUUAGACUUGCAGCUGCCAACUCAAUGAAAUUUAGGAAACCUGAACAUUCCAGCAGUUUGCUGGAACACUGUAUAUACAACAGGGGUGGGGGGGGGGGGACAGACAAGUAUACCUUUAGCCCAUUGUGUACCUAUGGCAUUGUUGACACUGUGAAAAUCGGUACGUUUUAAACUCUGCAUUAUUCUUUAAUUAAUUUUUUUGUUCAGACUCGAUAGCAACUAAAAUUAACGUGCAUAAAAUUAAACAAAAUUAUCCUUCUUUAAACAAAGAAUAGUUUGGCAGAAACAACCUUAAAUAAAAACCCAAUAGUAUAAUUAUCAGAUGAUUGCUAACAGAUAGUUGCACAAAACAAAUGGAAUUAUUUAUGUUUGAAACUUAGUGGCCCGCAAAUGAGCACAUUGUAUAAUUUGAUGUGAUGCAGAUUUGUGUCUAGGUCACAUGCACAAAAUAAAAUGACCAUGGGUAACCAUGUGUAUCAGGAACGAAGCAUAAAAUUAAAAGUCUUAUGAAAUAGGAGAAUACUAACUGCAGGAUGUCCUUUGCACCAAUGUGUACUAAAUUUCCCAUCUGUAUUUUAAGCAACUAAGAUUUUUAUUUUUUUGUGGAAAUAUUUUAAUUUAGACAGAUUUUUGGCACAAAUCUUAACUGUGUGUACAUAUGUAGCUGCAGUUUGCUUGUAGACCUAAAAUGUAAAGAAAGGAUCUGUGAAACAAAAAAUAAUGAUCUCAUCUUUUUUAACAACCCCACAUACUCGUUAAAGAGGAAUUUUAGGAAAACGUUAUAGGCCGUUACACUUCAUAUAGCAGAGAAAAGCAGAGCUGAUAGUAAACUUGCACAAUAAUAGAUAUGUUUGUUAGUUAAAAGUAUCUACGACUACCAGUCUGGAUGUGACACUAUUAUGGUACUGCUGCUGAAAUGCUUUUAAAACGUGUAAAACUCUGGUUUAUCUAGGUUAUACACAGAGGGGUCAUAAGCCCUAGGCUAGGGUAUAUAUUUAGGUAAAGAUGUGCAGCUGGGGAGCUCAACAUGUGUAUACCUGCCUACCCCUAAUAUGACUGAAAGAAUCAAGACACCUAAUGACAUACAAGUCAGCCCGAUUGACCUCUAUGGACAGCUUACUCAGACUCCUGCUAUAGCAUAAAAAGUUUUGCUUUAUUUGUGUGCAGUAAAUGUACCUAAGAAUUUAAAGGACCACUAUAGUGCCAGGAAAACAUACUCGUUUUCCUGGCACUAUAGUGCCCUGAGGGUGCCCCCACCCUCCGGGACCCCCUCCCGCCCGGCUCUGGAAGGGGGAAAGGGGUUAAACCUUACCUUUUUCCAGUGCUGGGCAGAGAGCUCUCCUCCUCCGAUCCUCCUCUUCUCCUCCCCGUCGGCUGAAUGCGCAUGCGCGGCAAGAGCUGCGCGCGCAUUCAGCCGGUCACAUAGGAAAGCAUUCAUAAUUAAGCUGAAGUGGUCUGGGUGCCUAGAGUGGUCCUUUAAGUGCUUGAACGUGAAACAGAAUUGCUCUGAUUCAGGGCUGCUGUAGAUCAAACCCAAUAACCAGCUAGGACAGCGUUUAUUGAAAAUAGGAAACAUCAAAAUCGUCUUAUACAUGGUUUUUCACUAAAGUGUCAUAUGACUGCAAAUAAAAUUUCAAGUUACAGGUAAACUAUAGCCAGAACAGAAAGGACAAGUCAGCUAUGCUUUCAGUUACACUAUCUUGGCCUAAAAUUUGAAAUUCAUUUUGAAUUAAAAUUCUUAAAUUUCAUUUGAAUUUCACUUUAAUUAAUAGCCCUAUCAGUUUAUCCAGUAUUUAUCUUCUUUUAUAAAGAAGUUACGUGUUACAAAUCCUUAAAAGGACACUCCGGACCCCUAAUUCACUGAAAUGCGUUAGGUGUGAAGAAUGUGUCCUUUUUUUCAUUUUACAAAAUUGGGAAUCCUGUGAUUGGACAGCCACAGAAAGUUUGGGCUGGGGAAAAGAAAAGGAAGGACUGUAUUUAGAUAUACUCCCAAUUAAAAAAGCAUAAUUAAAUGCAUGUGUAUUUCCAUUCGAGUUAUAUCUACUAAACAGUGAUAUUUAUUAUUUUGUAUUCGGACAGUGGAGUGUCCCUUUAAUAGUAUUGGUCUCUAAUUGCAUCAAUUGCUCUUGGAAGACUUUGCCACAGACCUCUAAACACUGUUUUAGUAAAGCAGUAUUUCUCUGAGCUCUUUCAGUUCUGCAAAGUGAAACCCUAUAUAUUGUAAUCCCAUUUCAGUAAGCAGUAUAUUAUAUUAUUAUUUUAUAGUUACUAAAACGUAACGUAAAAUUGGGCCACUCCCUAAAAUGAGCAUGAGUUACUGAGAUAUAAAACAUAGUACUUAUUCCUUCCCUUUAAAGGGUAUUCCAUAAUUUCAGAAUAGCAAACUGAAGGUCAAUCCUGGGAGGACCAAUAUCGUUUGUAUUCAUUUACUAAGAGACAAAAAAUUUUUUAAACAAAUUCCAAAAUUGCAGUUCAGUCAAAACAUUUCUGGAGCUAGUGAAAAGCACUCUCUCUAAGGAUUUCCUUAGAGUCUAGUCACAAGGGGAGUGUACCUGAUGACUUAGGCCAGGCAUCUAAAACUCUGGCCCCCAGAUGUUGCAGAACUACCUCUCCCAUGAUUCUCUUACAAGCUAUUGCGUUCAAGAAUUCCGGGAGUUGUAAGCGCAUAUAAAUAUUACAAUAUGGAGCACUAGAGUUUGAAAUCCCAGCUUUAGAGAUUCAGGAAAGGAGAACCCUGUUUGUGUAACCCUGUAAUAUAGAAUCAUAAUUGCUAUCUUUCAAACAUGCUAAUCUCACUUUUCAGUGAGUUGUAACUUGCCACACUAGAGGGCAAAACUGCAGAAUCUUAAAAAUAAUCUUAUGUGGGGGCGGAGCUAACAGAGCAGCAGAGAGGACGCAUUUCUCGGAGCUCUGUCUCUGACUUUUAAAAGCAUAGAGAUAUAUGGUGGAAACCGGGCCCAAAAUAUCCUACAAACAACCCAGGCACGAGCAGAAAGAACAUGGGCAGAAAAUCUAAAAAAGCAAAAGCCAAAAAAAGCCCCCACGGGAGGGACAUUGGAGAAAUGCUCCGGACCACACAACAGGCCGCAAGGUCCAAAAUGGCGCCUACCGAUGACAUCUCCUCGUAUUCCUCGGAGGACUUCACCACAGACGUCCUGGAGGGAGCAUCCUACGGGCACCCAUCGGACAGCAGAAAUUACCAGCUCACGGUAAUGCUGGCGGAACUCCGCAAAGAUUUGACGGCAGACAUGGCCUACUAUAGGAAAGCCAUAGAAGGGGCCACAACGAAAAUCACACAGCUGGAGGCCUGCUCAUGCACCCACGACGCUAGGCUCCACAAGGUAGAACAGAAAAUUACAGACGUGGUCCACUGGCAAACCACAACCAACGACAGGCUGGAUGCCAUGGAGGACCAGAGAAGACACUAUAAUCUCAAAAUAAGGGGGAUACCUGAGUCGGUAGCUCUUGCAGACUUACCCCACUACAUCAGGCGCCUUCUUGAAGUCCUGCUCCCACCGAAACGAGUAAAAACCAUGAAACUAGAUGGCAUGUUCCGGUUGCCAAAAUCACCCCGAGCACCAACAGCGGCGACAGCAGACCUCAUACUGAGGUUUCAAACACUAGCCGACAAGACCUCGUUUCUGACUGGGGAAAAAAAACCCUACUGUUCGAGGGGGCAUCGUUAACAGUGUUCCCGGACCUGACCAGGAACACGAUAGCCUGGCGAAAAACACUGCAACCCCUUCUGCACCAUCUCCGGUCCAGAGAAAUCCCAUACAGAUGGGGCACUCCUCGAGCCAUACUGUUCACCCACAACAAGACUUUAUACAAGGCGCAAGAUAAACAGGAGCUCGAAACACACCUGCAAUCAACAGGCAUCUUGCCAGCGGCACCGGCAACCAGACAGGGCCUUUCCCAGCUGAACCUGGCUAACAUCCGAGAAUUCACCCCACGGAACUCCUCCAGAGCCUCUCCGGGCGGAUCGCCCACCUGAGGAGGAAGAAACCAGCCAAUACAAAGGGACUCUCCUCUCCAUCCCAUUCCACCAACUACGCAGACGGAACAUUCCACAAAGUCAAAGACUCACUCUAAUCAGACACACUAACCCUCUUUGGGCUCGCACACAAAAUAAUGCAGCAUCUUUUCUUAUUCCGAUCCUAUCAGUGUAGUUAGCAUUCUUGUAGUUAGCAUUACCUACUUGCUCCUCACUCGCAAGAUAGCCACUGUAGGAGACACGGCUGACUAAACCAGAAAGCACACACACACCAAACGCUGUAGACAUGCCCACAUUAGGAGGCAGACGCAUACCACAUAAAAGGUACCACAAAGCCACAUUACUGCACGAUACCCGGACACCGCGCCCCCCCCCCUUGCCAAUACACGGAGGAUCAUGCUGAAAGCAACCACACAGAAUAACUGCAAGGGGUGAAGCCCUCAAGGGCAGACACAUAGACCGCAGAGCUACACUCCCCUCACUCCCUUACAGGGCACAACUGAUACUACAACAAAGGUUUUUCUAUAGAGUAAAAUGUAUUAUAAAAUGUGCAAGACUACCAAAAGCCACGAUUGUUUAAAAUGUUUAUUAUAUCUGUGAACGAUAGCUGUUGUGGCUACGUUUGCAACGAUAUUAAUAUUGUGCACACAAAAAUAAAGAAUUAAAAAAAAAUAAUAAUAAUCUUAUGUGGGUUUCAUAAAUAUUGUUUUUAUUAUUUUAUUAUUUAUAUAGUGCCAGCAAAUUCUGUAGCGCUGUACAAUGGGUUAAUGGUUCUUAAUUCAUCACAGAUCACUACCACUCAUUCUUUAGUGGAUAAAUGCUCUUUCCGUUCUUGUGUUGCACAAUCCUGUGUUAUGUCAUGUACAAAUCAGUUUCUCAAUCCGUGGCAGGAAAAACGUCUAACGGUUAGUGUCUUGGUAUUUACAAAAUACAAUGGCAUUUUGUAGGAAACAUUUGCCAUUUAAUUUUGUUGGAGAAGCACUAACAUAUUGCACAGCAAUGUACAAUGCAAAGAGUGAAUGAAUUAUGCAGGUUAAACUGGCUGGAGCUGUAAAGCAGAUCCGAUGUACAGGGCUGGCUGAAUCAUCCAACAGCAUGUACACCACAUUUCCCUGUUACUUUAAAUGCAGGCUGAUUUACUAAAGUGAGAAUUGUUGGUAAUUCAACGUGAAUUUUAACUUUAAGGCUAGGAUAGCCAAACUGGAAGAUCUUUUCCAUUUCAGUAACUUUUUCCUUAAAAUUGAAAUUCACUUUAAAUUCCCAAUAAUUCUAACUUUAGUAAAUUAAGUCUGAUGGUCGCUUGAAUAGUCAUUAUGUUAGAUUUUCGUAUUACAUGUUCAUAACACAUACCACAAUGUUACUACCUUAUCGUAUUCCAGUCUGAUUUGAAUAAUAUGGCCACUGCAGACUGUGACUGCAACUCAUGUGCCCAGUCUGUGACGGAGGCUCAUGUAGAUUGACAUGACAGGACCAGACUACUUCAUUCAAUAACAGUUUAAUUUCCAUUGCUGUGAUCUAGUAGAUCCAGUCUCUUAGGUAUACCGUUUGAAGAAGUCUAUUGCACCUGGCUAAUGUCUAACUGCACAUUCUCUAUCUCCUCCACAGAACACCUAGGGUCAUCGAGGUCACCAACCAGCAACAUGUGGCUUCUCUGGACAUCUGUGCUUUGUUUAUUUGGGUGCUUUGUAUGUAGCAAUGGGAGAAUCUUGCCUGGAACAG